UACGGGGGGGGCAAGCGUUGUUCGGAAUUACUGGGCGUAAAGGGCUCGUAGGUGGCCAACUAAGUCAGACGUGAAAUCCCUCAGCUUAACUGGGGAACUGCGUCCGAUACUGGAUGGCUUGGAUUCGGGAGAGGGAUGCGGAAUUCCAGGUGUAGCGGUGAAAUGCGUAGAUAUCUGGAGGAACACCGGUGGCGAAGGCGGCAUCCUGGACCGAUAUUGACGCUGAGGAGCGAAAGCCAGGGGAGCAAACGGG
rnacentral:rRNA from 1 species